rnacentral:rRNA from 1 species
AUUGAACGCUGGCGGGAGGCCUAACACAUGCAAGUCGAACGAGUGGCGGACGGGUGAGUAAUGUCUGGGAAACUGCCCGAUAGAGGGGGAUAACUACUGGAAACGGUAGCUAAUACCGCAUACCAUCGGAUGUGCCCAGAUCGGAUUAGCUUGUUGGUGGGGUAAAGGCUCACCAAGGCGACGAUCCCUAGCUGGUCUGAGAGGAUGACCAGCCACACUGGAACUGAGACACGGCCCAGACUCCUACGGGAGGCAGCAGUGGGGAAUAUUGGACAAUGGGCGAAAGCCUGAUGCAGCCAUGCCGCGUGUAUGAAGAAGGCCUUCGGGUUGUAAAGUACUUUCAGCGGGGAGGCGUUACCCGCAGAAGAAGCACCGGCUAACUCCGUGCCAGCAGCCGCGGUAAUUC